CUUUAUUCAUCCUCCUUGUCAGGAUCAACUCCACUCGUCUCAGUCAACUUUGGACAUUAUUAGGCCCGCUUAGCUUGCUACUUGUUUUAGCGCGUUAGUUAGCUUAGCUUGCUACAUGUUUUAGCGCGUUAGUUAGCUUAGCAUGCUAGUUAUCUUAGCUUGCUAGUUGUUUUAGUGCGCUAGUUAGCUUAGCGUGCUAGUCAGCUUAGCUAGUUAGCUGCUAACAAAGAGACGCGGAUUUGAUCAACACAUCGCUUAGUUAAGAUCAAGUGUGAGUGUAAAGUGUUGUGAUUGUGUGAAAAUGUGUGAAAGAACGAUAGCAGAGUACAAAGAGGAACUUUCUCGGACAAAAGAAGAAAACAAAAGACUACGUCAACUACUGGACGCUGUUUUCAAGAAACCUCAAGUUGUGUUACACAGAACAGGGCGCAUUCCAAUGCGCCCUCAUCUGUGCGCCCUGACGAGAGCACCGCGGGCCACGCCCACUUGCGCUCUCUCCUCUGGCUGCUCGCCCGGACACGCCCACGACCGCAGCGCACAUCCAGGGACGUGCCACGCGCGUCUCCGCCCUGCAGCUGCCGCCAGCUGCAAUCACUUACCCGCAAUCAGCACACCUGGUACUGAUGAGGGUGAGCUGCAUAAAGGACCAGUGGACCCAAGGAUCGACGCGGGAACUUAGUUUACCCUUUGGAUACCUUACCUCUUGGUGUACCUGCCUUCCCGAGUCUCCCCUUCGACAUCUCCCGUUGUUUUUCCCCCCCCUGUGUUUUGGACUGCCUUCCGCGUUUCCCGACUCCUUGCUCGCCCCCGGACUAUGACGUCUCUCUAUGCCCCACGGACCCAUCGCAGAUCUUGGACCCCUUUUUGCCUUGCCCUCUUUGGACUUGUCUGCUCCCUCAUCCAACAGCACGGCAAAACUCAACAGCCACAAACAGGACAGACUAAAAGGAAAACUUCCAAUAGAGACAAAGUUGCUGAAUGCAGUAGAAGACGACGUCCAGAUAAAGAAGAGACUUCUGGACAUGAUGGAGACAUCAGAGAAGACAUCGUCUGACAAUUUAGACAAACUAACUUCAAAUUACUAAGUCAAAGUAUUGACUUACUAAUAAUGACAUACUUAGUAUCUCAGGUAACUAGGACUGUUUUGUGUUUUGUUUGUACUUUAGGGAAAAAAUAUGGAGAUAUAUAUCGUAUAUCGCCAUUCUGCCAAUGGAGCGGAAAACACAACCAAAAAUUGUAGGCUUCUUUAU